AUUGAACGCUGGCGGCAGGCCUAACACAUGCAAGUCGAGCGAGCGGCGGACGGGUGAGUAAUGUAUGGGAAUCUGCCCGAUGGAGGGGGAUAACUACUGGAAACGGUAGCUAAUACCGCAUACUAUCAGAUGUGCCCAGAUGGGAUUAGCUAGUAGGUAGGGUAACGGCUUACCUAGGCGACGAUCCCUAGCUGGUCUGAGAGGAUGACCAGCCACACUGGAACUGAGACACGGCCCAGACUCCUACGGGAGGCAGCAGUGGGGAAUAUUGCACAAUGGGCGCAAGCCUGAUGCAGCCAUGCAGCGUGUAUGAAGAAGGCCUUAGGGUUGUAAAGUACUUUCAGUCGGGAGGCGUUACCCGCAGAAGAAGCACCGGCUAACUCCGUGCCAGCAGCCGCGGUAAUUC
rnacentral:rRNA from 1 species